rnacentral:piRNA from 1 species
UGCAUCCAAGUGAAUGCAGGGCUGCAGC